AGAGCGAACGCUGGCGGCGUGCUUAACACAUGCAAGUCGAACGCGCAGCAUUCUGUAGCAAUACAGGGUGUGGGCGCGUGGCGAACGGGUGCGUAACACGUGGAUAACCUUCCUUCAGGUGGGGAAUAACCCAGUGAAAAUUGGGCUAAUACCGCAUAACAAAACGAUGAGACAUCUUGUUGUUUUCAAAGGCGCAAGUCGCCAGAAGAGGGAUCCGCGGCCGAUUAGUUAGUUGGCGGGGUAAUGGCCCACCGAAGACGAUGAUCGGU
rnacentral:rRNA from 1 species